CCCCGUCCGGUAUGGGCGCCAAAACCAUGAACCUCAAUACCCCGUCCGGUAUGAGGGUGAAACGGGCCAUCCCCAUACCCCAUCCGGUAUGGGCGCCAAAACACAUAAAGUCUCAAUACCCCGUCCGGUAUGAGAGACCACGUUCCCGGUAGGGUUCCCUAUGGACCCGGUCCGUCCACCAUCUCCCAGGAUAUCUAGUCAGACUGUCCACAUUUUCCACCUAUCAAUUCACAUAACCUUUUUGCCUUUUUUCUUAAUCUCAAUCAUCCAAUCAUACACAACAUGUAAACCAGUAAUUGACACCAAAUAAGACAAUACAGUACCGGGUUCACCAUAAUACAAACCAUAAUAAAAGAAACCAUAGUUCAUGCAUACGAGACCACAACAUAAUUACAUUAAGCUGCAUUUAAUACCGAAAAACUAAAAUGCACUACCGGUACCUGCACAUGUUCCAAAAAAUCCCAAAUCAGAUCUAGGGCCCCUUUC
rnacentral:lncRNA from 1 species